GACGAACGCUGGCGGCGUGCCUAAUACAUGCAAGUCGAACGAGUGGCGGCCGGGUGAGUAACACGUGGGAACCUACCCAUCAGAGGGGGAUAACUACUCGAAAGAGUGGCUAAUACCGCAUACUAUUGGAGCGGCCGAUAUCGGAUUAGCUAGUUGGUGGGGUAAAGGCUAACCAAGGCCACGAACCGUAGCUGGUUUGAGAGGACGACCAGCCACACUGGGACUGAGACAGGGCCCAGACUCCUACGGGAGGAAGCAUGGGGGAAUUUUGGACAAGGGGGGAAAACCUAAUCGAGCCAUCCCGCGUGUAUGAGAAGGACUUCGGGUUGUAAAGUACUUUUGGCAGAGAAGCGGUAUCUGAAGAAUAAGCACCGGCUAACUACGUGCCAGCAGCCGCGGUAAUAA
rnacentral:rRNA from 1 species